rnacentral:rRNA from 1 species
GGCACGGUGGUGAAGGCUUGCCUUUACCAGCCGGCGACCGGCGCACGGGUGAGUAACACGUAUGCAACCUGCCUGCCACAGCCGGAUAAUCGGGAGAAAUCCCGUCUAAUACGGCAUAAUGCACCUAUGGGACAUCCUGUUGGUGCCAAAGGUUAAUUCCGGUGGCGGAUGGGCAUGCGUCGCAUUAGUUAGUUGGCGGUGUAACGGACCACCAAGACGACGAUGCGUAGGGGUUCUGAGAGGAAGGUCCCCCACACUGGUACUGAGACACGGACCAGACUCCUACGGGAGGCAGCAGUGAGGAAUAUUGGUCAAUGGGCGGGAGCCUGAACCAGCCAAGUCGCGUGAGGGAUGACGGCCCUAUGGGUUGUAAACCUCUUUUGCCGGGGAGCAAAGUGCCGCACGUGUGCGGUUUGGAGAGUACCCGGAGAAAAAGCAUCGGCUAACUCCGUGCCAGCAGCCGCGGUAAUACGGAGGAUGCGAGCGUUAUCCGGAUUUAUUGGGUUUAAAGGGUGCGUAGGCGGACGCUUAAGUCAGCGGUAAAAUUGCGGGGCUCAACCUCGUCGAGCCGUUGAAACUGGGUGUCUUGAGUGGGCGAGAAGUACGCGGAAUGCGUGGUGUAGCGGUGAAAUGCAUAGAUAUCACGCAGAACUCCGAUUGCGAAGGCAGCGUACCGGCGCCCAACUGACGCUGAAGCACGAAGGCGUGGGUAUCGAACAGGAUUAGAUACCCUGGUAGUCCACGCAGUAAACGAUGAAUGCUAGUUGUC